GGACCUUGUACCACUCUACAGUUUUACAGAGUCGAGCAGAGAACAAUUCUGUAUAUAUUUCAGGGCUCCAAUUCAAUAUUUUUCAUUCGAAGAGAUUUUAGAGAAAUCAUUGACAAAUAUUUGCCAUAUCAGGUGUUCCAUCACAAGAAAUAGGCAACCACUUAGUCACAGACACUUGCCCAUCAUGGACCAGUUGUGGGAAAUUUCCUAGGACUUCAAUAAAUUUACUUUAUCUCCUUCUCCCAUAAUUGGACAUCAUUUGCCAUUGGUCUUCCUGGUGGCCAUCCCCAAACUGAUUUGUAAGGCAGAACUUUGAAACAUAAAGAACACCAGGUGCAGACGAUAUCCGAGCUUGUAACUCAUUUGUGGCAUUAAUUGUAUCUAAGAUAGAGGAACCACUAAUGGCUCCAAAUUGCAUUCAGUAAUCGCUAGGCCGAUACACAGAACCUUAAGAGUUGAAAAUCUCACUAAACAAUGUUUUCGAAUGACGGGUCAAGAAAAAGCAAAUAGUUUCCGGGUGAUUGUUUGAUUACAACAUGCUUUUAAGCUAGGAAUACUUGGCAUUAAAUAAAAUCAAUAAACUGAAACUGAGUAAACAGCAGUCAGCCGCAUACUAGAGAUUCAGGACUCUGGACAUUUUUCGAGAGCGAGUAACAGUUUCUGCCUAAAGAGAUUGCAGAUGCUCACAGCUCAUGUAAAAGACGGCCCAAAUUCAAUGUGGCUGCCACUAAUUUCACACUUUCAGAAAUCUUCUCAGUUCUCAGUACCUUGAUCUAGUACCAAUAUACUGGUCAUGUCGACCCCUACUCUGAACAGGACGAAGAAAUGUCCUCGUGUGAGACCAGUAUUCAGAUGGCUGGGAAGCAGAAUAUGAGAGAUCACGGUACAAAACCAGGUCUCUGUGCAGUACAUAGGGAUCAACGCGUUCAAUCUCCCCUUGAUGCUGCUCAUGGAAUGAGUUCAUUACAUGCUCCGUCUGCUCUCGAUGCCUCAGCUCCAAAUCUCGGAAUCGUCUGUACUGAUGCUCAACAAAUGGAUCCCUUCUGUAAUCAUUCAUUUCCAAGUUCCCUUCAUAAGAAUAUGAUCGUGGAGAGGGUGCAAGAGUUGAUGCUGGGGGUAAAGGUACACGUGAUGACAGAGGUGCAACAGGGGAUGCAUAAAUUUCCCUUUUAUAGGUGUUACAGUGUCGCUUCCUAGCCCCGUGCUGAUCUGCAAAUUUAUGGGUUUCUGCUCUGUGACUCCGUUUUCUACUCUUCUCUCGAUCUGUAAAUGUAUGCGUCUCUGCACCAGGAUUUCUUUGCAACCCCUUCGACAUGGAGGUUUUGCUAACACCUCGAAAAAGUUUGCACAAAUUCUUCACCUGUUCUGAUGUCAAUCGACAAUCAAAUUUGUUCUUCUGGUAAUAGUUGUCUUUGAUGACCUUUUUAAACUUCUCCUCUGGCAGCGGUAUGCAGUCCUUAUAAACAUUGAACCGCACCUGUGAGGGAAAUGCACACUUGAAAGCCUUUGGUUCAAUAUUAUAACCCCCAGGUCCUGUAGCUCUGUAGAUUCCAUAUAGCAAUUUCAAAUCAAAAUCAAACAAAAAUAGCUUCAUCCCUUCACAAAUUUGUAGAACAACAUCUCUCUUAUUUGCUGGCAAACCUAAAACCAUGUAACGGUAGCAAUCCUUCUUGGACUGAGAACUACACAUAAAUAUCAUCCCCAUAAGUUUAUCAUUCCUUAUUGCCUUUUUGUUUGAAGGUUCUUGGUCAUUCUUAUCCUUGACAAUCACUUCACUCAUGCCCUUCAAAGCCAUCUUCUUCUUUGAGCCUUUUCUCCCCCUUUUCCUCAACUUGCCUAUUUUCUUCUUGGAAAUAUCUUCUACUUUAUCUUCAUUCUCCACCUCUUGUUUUGCAUCUUCUUCAUGCAACCCUUCAUCAUCAACAUUAUCUUUGUUAUUCAAAGUUUGAAGGUUCUUGCUUGAAGGUUCUUGAUCAUUUGUAUCCUUGACAAUCACUUCAUUCAUACCCUUCAAUGCCAUCUUUUUCUUUGAGGCCUUCUUUCCCUUCUUCCUCGGUUUAUCUGUUUUCUUCUUGAAGAUAGCUCCUACUUGUUCUUCAUUCUUCACCUCUUCUCUAGUAUCUUCUACAUGCACUACUUCUUCUUUAGGAUUCAUUUUACUAUUCAAAUCCUCCAUUGUAUGUUCUUUCUCCUUGUCAUGUCCUAUAACCACAUUAGACUCUUUUGUAAGCUCAUCCUUCUCUUUGCCACCAAGAAUCAAAAUUGAUUCUUUGGCAUUCAUAUUCAUCGGCUCCAAGUAAGUUAUCUCAGUUUCAGCAUUGUCAAUCUUCUCAUUGUUCAUCUUUACUUGCAUAUUUUCUUUCCCCUCUUCACACAAAAUACUCAUAUCAAAUUCUUUUAAAAAUUGUUUCUUCUCUUCACCACCAAGAAUCCAAAUUGCUUGUUCAUCAUUCACCAUCAUUGUUUCUGAGGAAGCUAUAUCAAUUUCAACAUUGCUACUCUUACCAUUAUCCACCUCUUCCAUCCUAUGUUCUUUCUCCAUUUCACCUUCAAUAUUGCGAUCAUUAUUUUUUGGCAUUGAGCUAAAAGCAUCCUCGCCAUUCAUUUCAUCCAUUGGGACCCUGGAUAAUCAUAUAAAAGUUUUUAAUCAAAUAUAGAUCCUUAUUUAGACAUUUAAAAGUGAAACCAACUAAAAUAAAUGGGGCAACAACCAAUAGCAUUGCCAAAUUGCCUCCCCUUAAAAGGAGUUCAAGGAAAUGAGCUCCUAGUAUUCAUAGAAUCUCUCAAGAUCUCAAAGAGAACCCAACACAUGACAACAGGAAGAAACCAUAUUAUUAUGAGAAAUCAUCCAAGUGAUGAAGAAAUAGGAGUGUGUAAUGUGCCAUUGAGGCACUUACAAAGUUUGCACAACUUGCUAUUACCCUGGUAAAUUAAACCAAACUAUGAUGCCCAUAAGAGCGUGAACUAAAAUUCCAAAACAUCAAGCUACAUAUGCACAAGACAAGAUUCAGUAAGAGCCAAAAGGAAGGAAGGAAGGAAGGAAAAAAAGAAAGAAAAGAGAGACUACAAAUACAAGAUUUUUGCUUAAGACAUUAUAACUUUGAGCAAUGUGAAAUAUGUAAUUCAUAAUAUAGUCCUCAUGGUAAAUAAAAAAAAUAUAUUAUCCCACAUACCAUGACAAUGUAACAAGGCACAUACUUGGUGCCAUUUUGGUAACCACAAAGUAAGGUAUAUUGUGGCAAAAACUCAUAUUAAAUGUCUACAGCACCACCCAACUAUGGUUGAUACUAUUCUACCUUAUACAAUAAAAUUUUUGAAUAUUACUCAUGGGAGAGAGAGAAAGAGGGAGGGAAGAAAUUUUUUGAGUUGAUGAUACAUAAUCUAUUAGAUCAUGAAUGCAGAGAAUAGAUGAAAGGGAGCCUAUAACUCAUUCAUAAAGUAGGGAGAAUUAACACUCAUUUGUUCAUCAAAUCUCACAUCCAUGCUUCUUUGGAAGCAUAAGACCUUAUUUUGUUCACCAAGAAUAAUAGAUCAGGAAAAGGAACCAAGACUUCAAUCCUAUGAUUUAAGUUCUUGUUGACUGAUAUUGAAAGGAAUCGGAAUGAAAUGGUCUUCAUUGACUAAUUUCAUUCCCACAUAUGGACUAGGUAUUAGGAAUUAGUAACAGAAAAGAGAGACAAAUCUCAAUAAUAACCAAACAAGCUCCAAAUGUAAUUUGAGCUUGAUAAUUUUGAUAAUACAAAAUUAAUUUCUCCCACCAAAAAGCCAACGCCAUUAAUAAGAAGGAAAUUUGAGUCACAAAGCAAAUCAUCUAGAUAUUUCCUUCCACAAUUCUAAUCCUGUCAAUUAGAUAUUUGCAUGUGGCAACCUAUGGACCCUUUAAUUUGUUUCCAUUUCCUUAUUGUAUUUCCUAUAUCAAUAUAUUGAUCCUCUUCAACUUUAUUAUAUCACACACAAGAAAUCCUCCAGUAGAUUGCUAUCAUUGUGCUUUCUCUUCUUGCAUGUUUUACUCAACUGACAAAGCAUGAAGUAAAGCAGAGGAUACGAGAUGGGAAAAAUACAAAUAGUCAAUCAAGAAAAGACACAUCAAUUUCCAAGAUGAAGAAAUUUAUCAAAACAAGGAUUCCAUAGUUCUAACAUCACCUAAUCACUUUUUAUUUAAAACUUAAGGGCACUUUUAUUUUCAUAAUAUUUUCUAACAAAACAAGACAUUGUUAGAAAAUUUGCCACUCAAAAAUCAAACAAAGUUCUUAGAGAAUCGGUUUUUCAACUUCUUCUGAUUUAAAUGGUCUUCUGAAAAUAGUUUUUCCAGUUCUCUGAGUUUCCUCCUAAUUUCUAAAGUUUAUAAUAGAAAGUUAGAAAACGCGUUCACCUAUUGAAUGUAGCCUUCCAAAAUUUCCUAUCAAGUUAGGAAAAUUGGAACAUCCCAUUUCCUAAAUUUGAAUGGACCAAUGGAUAAUAAAAAUCUGAGAAGAAGCCAGAAACAAUCUGCUAAAGUAACUGGGCUUCCCAAAUGGAAACCAGCUAAUAUCCAAAAUUCAUUGCAUGUAAAUUCAAAUAGUAUCCAAAUACUGGAACAACUGCAUCCUAGACCUCAAUAAGAGUUCUUAGCAACUAUAAGCCACUCAAAGAACAAUGAAACAUGGAAUGCAAUGAAUCUACAUGGAUAGUAGCAAAUCAAUUCAAAACAUAAAUCUACUAAUAACAACCUUGGGAGUAUCUUAAGCACAUGAAUUAGCCAACUACAAGUUCACAGGAACGAAAACCCUAAAAAAAAUGACAAAUCAAGCUCUGAACCUACUAAUCGUUACAUUACAUAAAAUUUCCCCAAAAUUUAUACCUGAACAAGUACAAAGCAAUAGAUACUUACAAAAUAUAUGACAAAUUGAUUCCAUUAAUCAAGAUGAAGAAAUCGUACCGUAUGGAAACAAAAAUUCGCCAAGAUUUUCUUUAAAAAAAAUAAAAGGUAAAACCUA
rnacentral:misc_RNA from 1 species